rnacentral:rRNA from 1 species
UAUUGCGCAAUGGGGGCAACCCUGACGCAGCCAUGCCGCGUGAAUGAAGAAGGCCUUCGGGUUGUAAAGUUCUUUCGGUGAUGAGGAAGGAGGAUGUUUAAAUAGGGCAUUCAAUUGACGUUAAUCACAGAAGAAGCACCGGCUAACUCCGUGCCAGCAGCCGCGGUAAUACGGAGGGUGCGAGCGUUAAUCGGAAUAACUGGGCGUAAAGGGCACGCAGGCGGAUAAUUAAGUGAGAUGUGAAAUCCCCGAGCUUAACUUGGGAAUUGCAUUUCAUACUGGUUAUCUAGAGUCUUGUAGAGAGGGGCAGAAUUCCACGUGUAGCGGUGAAAUGCGUAGAGAUGUGGAGGAAUACCGGAGGCGAAGGCGGCCCCUUGGACAAAGACUGACGCUCAUUGCGAAA